rnacentral:rRNA from 1 species
UACGAAGGGUGCAAGCGUUACUCGGAAUUACUGGGCGUAAAGGGUUCGUAGGCGGUGCGGCAAGUCGGAAGUGAAAUCUCCAGGCUCAACUUGGAGGCUGCUCCCGAAACUGCCGUGCUAGAGUGCGGGAGAGGCCAGUGGAAUUGCAGGUGUAGCGGUGAAAUGCGUAGAUAUCUGCAGGAACACCCGUGGCGAAAGCGGGCGCGCUGGACCACUACUGACGCUGAGGAACGAAAAGCUAGGGGAGCAAACAGG